CUGCUGCUCUGGCUCCAGAUGAAGGCAGCUGUGUGGUGGUUUUCCCUGCCAGCGUCUCCUUACAGAGGGAGGGCCACACAGCCUUGGGAGGGGUCUGAUGCGGAGACGAUGGCUGGCUUCCUCUUAGAAUCUCUCAAGCUAAGAUCAAAGAACAGAGAAGCUGGGAUUACUAGGCACUCCCUUUCUCCAGCAGGUCGCCCCCUCACCACUGUCCUAGCUAAACUGCAGCCAGCAGCAGCCACCAUGAUGACUAGCACUGGAGACCUGGUCUUCCUCUUACUGAUGGUGGAGUGCGUUACUCUUUUCCCAGGAAGUUUUUCUUUGAGCGAAAGAGAAAGGAAGAAACAAGAAACAGCUCUGUGGACAUAAUGAACACCUCACAACCAUUCUCAAUGAACAAGCAGUGCCGCUCCUCAGACCAGCGAGGCCUGCAAGAACUACUGCAGAUACUCCAAAGAAGACUGUGGUUCGAGGGAAGCCACAGUGCCUCUAGCAGACCAGGGAGGACCUAAGAGAUUGCCAUCUUUCACUCAAGAGAAGGGCUUCUAAGAACCACCUUAUGGUUUCAGCUUCACUUUCCAUUUCUUUUUUCUGCACUGACAAGCUAACUUGAGUUAGACUCACCUUAGGAACUGGCUGUUAGUAAGGGCUGGCACUGAUUUUGCAAAGGAAAACAACUAACAAAGUAUGAAUUACAUCUUGGUGAAAUCCCUGAUGAAUCCUGGGCAGAACUAACCUGAUUAUGUCCUCCUCUGGUGUGGAGGUCAGUGCUGUGCCAGGAGUCAGGCUAUCUAUAGAGGGCCAGAAGGCAGUACACAAUUAUUUAGAAUUCUCCUACUUCUUUUGCAUUAUCUGGGGGAGCCAGACUGUACAUCUCUGGGGUCUAUUUUGCUCUUAAUGUUGUAAAUAUAAAUUAUAAGGAAAAUUAAUUUUCACCUGCUGCUACUGCUAAAAUUAAUCCUGUCUUGCUGGCCAGCACCUCAUUCCCCAAGCCCUUGAUGUUGCAGUUCCUCAGAUUAAGUCUUAGAGUCUCUUCUUGCUUGGUUCCCUACCCCUGGGCAGGCUCUUCCUAUCCUGUAUGUGUCCACAACCUCCAUAUUGAUGAAUUCAGAGGCACAAAUAUAUGCACCAAGAUGCUUUCCCUGUGUCUCCAUUUGGAUUUCUCAUAGUCAUCCCCAAAUGCCCCAUAGUGAUGGCCUCUCCCGCCCUCAAGCUGAUCCUCCUGUAAAGUCAGCAAUAUUAUAAGCCAGUAGCUCAUGCUGAAGACCAGGAAGUUAUCCUGGACACCUUCUUCAUUCUCAUCCAGCCCAGUCCUUCCAUCUAAUAAUUCUGAUCUCUUCCACCUCUAAAAGGGCUCAAACCUAUUCCCCCCUUUCCUCCUCCACCAACACCCUAGGUUGAACCAUGAAUUUCCUGGACACCUGUAAUCAACCAUCCCCCUUUGUGCCCCUGCUCUUAUCUGUCCUCAAGAGAAGCUGGAAUGAUAUAUUAGAGAACCAAUUGGGUCACACCACUUGCUUUAACUCUGGUGGUAUUCUCUUCAAUUUAGGAUGGAAUCCAAAGCCCCACCAGACCACUCUCACCUGCCCAUCACAUCUCCUGUCACCCUCAUCCUUGCUCACAGGAUCCAGCCUCACAGUCCUUUUAGUGCUUGAAACGUGGGUGCCUUCUCCUGCCCCAGCACUUUCCCCAUCAUGUUCUCUCUGCCUGCCAUGCUUUUCCUCCCCAUCUUUGCCUGACCUGUGCUCGGCUCCUCCUCAGCCAUCCAUCCAGGGGUCAUCUCCUCAGGGAGCCUUUCCCUGCCACUCAUUCUACUCUAGGAUGCCUUUAGUCAGCGCCUUUUAUUUCCUCACAUCAUUUAGCACACAGUUUAAUUACAUUUAUUUCCACUAUUAGUCACUUGCCUUUACUACUAAGCUGUGAGCUCUGUGAGGGCAAGCAUGCCUGCUGUGCUCAUCACCCUGUCCAGCUGUUUUUCCCCAAAACUGGUGCUUAAUAAGCAUCAAGAAAUACCUGUGCACUAAAUGAACAACUCUGAUUACCUGACUCUUGGAAUAUUGCAACAAAGAUGACUUCAAAGCUCAUUCAACAUGUUACCAAAAGAAAAUGCAAAAUGGCACAGGCACAAAGCAUUUACAACAUCACACGUAGUAGAAAAAUACGGAAAUGCCCUCAAAGCCCAUGAGCUGGGGACGAGCUAAAUAAACUUUGGUACAUCUGCACAAUGAAUGACUAUACAGUUCUAAAGAGGAUGAGGGAGAUCUUUAGACAUUGUUAUGUUAAAAAACAACAGGCAAGGUGCUGAACAGUAUACUACCUUUUAUCUGGGAAAGGAGACAGCAUGAAUAUGUGUGCACCUGUUUUCUUUUAUUUAAUAAAUGAAAAGAAGAAAGCAAAACUUAACUUUUUAAAAAUGUUUACCUGAGAGAAAGAGAAAACAGGAUACAGUGGGCAGACCCAGAAGCCAGAAUUCUCAGAUAUACCUGUUUCACAGUUUUGACUUUGGAAUCUUGUUGACAUGUUACACAGUUACAAAAUAACAUUAAAUAAAGAGAAA